rnacentral:rRNA from 1 species
CCUACGGGAGGCAGCAGUAGGGAAUAUUGCUCAAUGGGGGAAACCCUGAAGCAGCAACGCCGCGUGGAGGAUGAAGGUUUUCGGAUUGUAAACUCCUUUUGUUAGAGAAGAUAAUGACGGUAUCUAACGAAUAAGCACCGGCUAACUCCGUGCCAGCAGCCGCGGUAAUACGGAGGGUGCGAGCGUUACUCGGAAUCACUGGGCGUAAAGAGCGCGUAGGCGGGUUAGCAAGUCAGAUGUGAAAUCCUAUGGCUCAACCAUGGGAGUGCAGUGGGAAGUGGUGUUCUAGAGUGCGGGGGAGGCAGGUGGAAUUCGUGGUGUAGCGGUGAAAUGCUUAGAUAUCACGAAGAACACUGAUUGCGAAGGCAGCCUGCCGCAGCGUUACUGACGCUGAAGCGCGAAAGCGCGGGGAUCGAACAGGAUUAGAUACCCCAGUAGUC